AGAGUUUGAUCAUGGCUCAGGAUGAACGCUAGCGGCAGGCCUAACACAUGCAAGUCGAGGGGUAACAUAGAAAAGCUUGCUUUUCUGAUGACGACCGGCGCACGGGUGCGUAACGCGUAUACAACCUACCUUUUAGCGGGGAAUAGCCCAGGGAAACUUGGAUUAAUGCCCCAUAGUAUAUGGACUUCUCCUGAAGUUUAUAUUAAACAUUUAUGGCUAUUAGAUGGGUAUGCGUCCUAUUAGUUAGUUGGUAAGGUAACGGCUUACCAAGGCAGCGAUAGGUAGGGGUCCUGAGAGGGAGAUCCCCCACACUGGUACUGAGACACGGACCAGACUCCUACGGGAGGCAGCAGUGAGGAAUAUUGGACAAUGGGCGAGAGCCUGAUCCAGCCAUGCCGCGUGCAGGAAGACUGCCCUAUGGGUUGUAAACUGCUUUUACAGAGGAAGAACCACCCCCACGUGUGGGGGUUUGACGGUACUCUGCGAAUAAGGAUCGGCUAACUCCGUGCCAGCAGCCGCGGUAAUACGGAGGAUCCAAGCGUUAUCCGGAAUCAUUGGGUUUAAAGGGUCCGUA
rnacentral:rRNA from 1 species